rnacentral:rRNA from 1 species
GUGCCAGCCGCUGCGGUAAUACGUAUGUCCCGAGCGUUAUCCGGAUUUAUUGGGCGUAAAGCGAGCGCAGACGGUUUAUUAAGUCUGAUGUGAAAGCCCCCGGCUCAACCGGGGAGGGUCAUUGGAAACUGGGAGACUUGAGUGCAGAAGAGGAGAGUGGAAUUCCAUGUGUAGCGGUGAAAUGCGUAGAUAUAUGGAGGACACCAGUGGCGAAGGCGGCUCUCUGGUCUGUAACUGACGCUGAGGCUCGAAAGCGUGGGGAGCGAACAGGAUUAGAUACCCUGGUAGUCCACGCCGUAAACGAUGAGUGCUAAGUGUUGAGGUUUCGCCUUCAGUGCUGCAGCAAACGCAUUAAGCACUCCGCCUGGGGAGUACGACCGCAAGGUUGAAACUCAAAGGAAUUGACGGGGCCCGCACAAGCGGUGGAGCAUGUGGUUAAUUCGAAGCAACGCGAAGAACUUACCAGGUCUUGACAUCCUUUUGACCAUCUAGAGAUAGAGCUUCCCUUCGGGGCAAAGUG